rnacentral:rRNA from 1 species
UACAGGAGGUGCAAGCGUUAAUCGGAAUUACUGGGCGUAAAGCGUGCGUAGACGGUUACAUAAGUCGGGUGUGAAAGCCCGGGCUCAACCUGGGAAUUGCAUUCGAGACUGCGUAGCUAGGGUGCGGAAGAGGGAAGCGGAAUUUCCGGUGUAGCGGUGAAAUGCGUAGAUAUCGGAAGGAACACCAGUGGCGAAAGCGGCUUCCGUGGUCCAGCACCGACGUUCAGGCACGAAAGCGUGGGGAGCAAACAGG